AUACGGAGGGUGCAAGCGUUAUCCGGAAUCAUUGGAUUUAAAGGGUCCGCAGGCGGAUUAAUAAGUCAGUGGUGAAAUCCUCUCGCUCAACGAGAGAACUGCCAUUGAAACUGUUAGUCUUGAAUUCGGUCGAAGUAGGCGGAAUGUGUCAUGUAGCGGUGAAAUGCAUAGAUAUGACACAGAACACCGAUAGCGAAGGCAGCUUACUAGACCUGGAUUGACGCUCAUGGACGAAAGCGUGGGGAGCGAACAGGAUUAGAAACCCGAGUAGUCC
rnacentral:rRNA from 1 species